AAAUUGAAGAGUUUGAUCAUGGCUCAGAUUGAACGCUGGCGGCAGGCCUAACACAUGCAAGUCGAACGGUAACAGGAAACAGCUUGCUGUUUCGCUGACGAGUGGCGGACGGGUGAGUAAUGUCUGGGAAACUGCCUGAUGGAGGGGGAUAACUACUGGAAACGGUAGCUAAUACCGCAUAAUGUCGCAAGACCAAAGAGGGGGACCUUCGGGCCUCUUGCCAUCGGAUGUGCCCAGAUGGGAUUAGCUAGUAGGUGGGGUAACGGCUCACCUAGGCGACGAUCCCUAGCUGGUCUGAGAGGAUGACCAGCCACACUGGAACUGAGACACGGUCCAGACUCCUACGGGAGGCAGCAGUGGGGAAUAUUGCACAAUGGGCGCAAGCCUGAUGCAGCCAUGCCGCGUGUAUGAAGAAGGCCUUCGGGUUGUAAAGUACUUUCAGCGGGGAGGAAGGGAGUAAAGUUAAUACCUUUACUCAUUGACGUUACCCGCAGAAGAAGCACCGGCUAACUCCGUGCCAGCAGCCGCGGUAAUACGGAGGGUGCAAGCGUUAAUCGGAAUUACUGGGCGUAAAGCGCACGCAGGCGGUUUGUUAAGUCAGAUGUGAAAUCCCCGGGCUCAACCUGGGAACUGCAUCUGAUACUGGCAAGCUUGAGUCUCGUAGAGGGGGGUAGAAUUCCAGGUGUAGCGGUGAAAUGCGUAGAGAUCUGGAGGAAUACCGGUGGCGAAGGCGGCCCCCUGGACGAAGACUGACGCUCAGGUGCGAAAGCGUGGGGAGCAAACAGGAUUAGAUACCCUGGUAGUCCACGCCGUAAACGAUGUCGACUUGGAGGUUGUGCCCUUGAGGCGUGGCUUCCGGAGCUAACGCGUUAAGUCGACCGCCUGGGGAGUACGGCCGCAAGGUUAAAACUCAAAUGAAUUGACGGGGGCCCGCACAAGCGGUGGAGCAUGUGGUUUAAUUCGAUGCAACGCGAAGAACCUUACCUGGUCUUGACAUCCACAGAACCUUGUAGAGAUACGAGGGUGCCUUCGGGAACUGUGAGACAGGUGCUGCAUGGCUGUCGUCAGCUCGUGUUGUGAAAUGUUGGGUUAAGUCCCGCAACGAGCGCAACCCUUAUCCUUUGUUGCCAGCGGUCCGGCCGGGAACUCAAAGGAGACUGCCAGUGAUAAACUGGAGGAAGGUGGGGAUGACGUCAAGUCAUCAUGGCCCUUACGACCAGGGCUACACACGUGCUACAAUGGCGCAUACAAAGAGAAGCGACCUCGCGAGAGCAAGCGGACCUCAUAAAGUGCGUCGUAGUCCGGAUUGGAGUCUGCAACUCGACUCCAUGAAGUCGGAAUCGCUAGUAAUCGUGGAUCAGAAUGCCACGGUGAAUACGUUCCCGGGCCUUGUACACACCGCCCGUCACACCAUGGGAGUGGGUUGCAAAAGAAGUAGGUAGCUUAACCUUCGGGAGGGCGCUUACCACUUUGUGAUUCAUGACUGGGGUGAAGUCGUAACAAGGUAACCGUAGGGGAACCUGCGGUUGGAUCACCUCCUUACCUUAAAGAAGC
rnacentral:rRNA from 1 species